GGUAUCGUACUUUAAAAACAAAAGAUUUGAUUUGCAUUCAAAAAAUGGAAUUAUUUUAUUCCUGACACCA
rnacentral:tRNA from 1 species